CUAGAUUUCUGCUUUCUACAUCACAAUUUGCUAUCGAUUCUCAUUCUUGGUUCAAGUUAACCUAACUUCUAAAAUUUUCAUUUUUAAAAGCCUCUACCGGUUGGAGUGAAUUGAAAAUCGAAUUUGGUGACACCAGGUGAAAGAUCCAAUACUAAAUUUAUUAAGACAGGAAAUCAACGAUAAAUUCAUCCAAUGACGAAAAUUCAUGAUGAAGGGUCUGGAAAAACAUCAGAGGUUCACCGCUCAACAAACUGAUUAAUCGGAGUUGCCACAUAUUCCAAGAGGAUUCAUGGCGGUGACUGGAGAUAUCUGGACAGUGGACUCUAUCGUGCCCCCCUCAUCAUUGACCACCACUACUUCUGCCGUUGGCAGUGUGUCUGCUACCUCACUUUGGGCGGACGAAGAGAGACUCAUGUUGAAAAGGAUAAUGUGUCAAAAAAUUUUAAAAAAGUGAAAGUUUGGCUAACAAGGCCUUUAGUGUGGACCACAAGAUAGGACUGUAAAAGUUAAGUGUUGUCACAAAGUUUUCGCCAAGGAUAACUAACAUAAAUGAACAUGUACGCCAAUUAAAAGCUUAUUGAUUGUAGCUUGUCAUAUUCUCAAACUGGCUUAUAUUUAAAAUAUGAGUGACUAGAUGAAAUUCAGCAUUUCAGGCCCAUAAAAUAUUCUGAAAUACAGUUUCAAAUAAUAAUACAAUUUUAUAAAAAAAUUUCUUCUUUGCUUAAAGCUAUUGAUUCCCAAAAAUAGUUUUCCAUACUUGCAACCCCAGUAAAUUCUUACUGCCUAUCAUCCAUUCACGACAAAUCUCAGUAUGUAUUGACUUGUCCAUAAUUGACAGCGAUAUACAGUCUUGAUUUACUCUCAAUAAUGAUUUUAUGAGCUCUGUUCUCAUCACCAGUCCCACGCUCAGGUGCCAUGUUUAUGUCACGUUAUUUCUUUCAAUAAGGGGUUGCCCUGCUUGGCCGCAGUCGAUAGAGCAUGAGUAAAAAAUUAUAUAACUCUUGUUGUGGUUCUUAGAAUAUAUAUUGUACCAAUUUCUUAUUGGCUUGCUCAGGAGCUCCCACAAUUCUCUGCUCUUGCCAUUUACUGACAUUGGCUGCUCCAACAGUUCACAAUUUCUGUGACUGAUUUGUAGAAAUCCGCAAGUAUGGAUGCAAGAGUUUGUGCUGCUACAACUUAAAGCUAUAAAUUUGAGACUCUUCUGGUCGAAUUUAAUGAUAUUGAAUAAUUUAAAUAAACCUCUGGAAUGUAUUAUUUCCAAAGAUUUGACUAUCAAGGCUGUAUCUUAA